CCUGGCAAACCCUGUAGUCCCAGCUACUCAGAAGGCUGAGGCAGGAGGAUCACUUGAAUCUAGGAGUUCUGGGCUGUAGUGCUGCUGUGCCAAUUGGGUGUCCCCACUAAGUUCGGCAUCAAUAUGGUGACAUCCGGGGAGCAGGAGACCACCAUAUUGCCUAAGGAAGGGUGAAUCAGCUCAGGUGGGAAACAGGGCAGGUCAAAACUCCUGUGCUGAUCAGUAGUGGGAUCACGCCUGCGAGUGGCCACUGCACUCUAGCCUGAGCAACAUAGUGAGAACCCCAUCU
rnacentral:SRP_RNA from 10 species